rnacentral:lncRNA from 10 species
GCCGGAAGUGGAACAAGUAUCUGGAAAGAGUAAGGAGGAUGAAGAAUAAAUCUAGAUGUGGGAGACGAUGGAGCAGAACAAGACAGAGAGCCUGGAACACUGAAAACACCAUGGAUCUGGUACACAAGCUGUAGGCGGCCUGCCUCUUGUGACCAGCAGCCAAAGGAUCUUUGUUGAGUGCCUGGGUAGAGCAUCCAGAAAGGGUCUAUGAACACACAAUGUCACAACAAUGCCAAGGACUUUAUGAUAGUGAUAAAUGAACUUCAACACAAAAGAAAUGUAAGACCCUACCAAUGAGGACAGAUGGAAAAUAAAAUCACAUUUUCCAGGGUGAUUUAUCUAAAGUCAUUUAUGAGAAGACAUUUCAGGGCAAACAGGCCACAUCAGAGGAGCAUAUCUCUCAGGGUAAGUCAACCACCAAGGAGGGAAAGAUUGUUUUUAUACAGCAUGGCCCCUAAAUGCAAGACAAUACUUAAUCUGUUAUUAAACUGAAAAAUAAGAAACUUAUUCAACACUAGAAAGGGAAAAAUCACUUUUUAGCUUUUUGGGCUUAGUGAGAGAGACUACAGUGUACAUGAUGCUUUUUUUGGCACUUUAUUGAUAAUUUAAAGGAUUUUCAAGGGUAAUUUUGAUGCUACACAAUUUUUGCCAUAUGUGCUGACUUUAAACACUAACUCCCACAUAAGAUAUGACGCUACCCUUAUGUCUUUUAGCACCUCAGGCCUCAAAAGUCAUUCAUAUUAUAUUAGUUUCUUCAAAGGCUCUCUGAUUCUAAUAGAAAUCGGCCCCACUAAAUCCUAGUAUUCAUGUUUGCUUUUAAACAACUCACACCUUGGUUUAAUGCAGAGGAGCUGUUUCCAGUCUUAUUUUGACUGCUUUUAGCAUCCUGGGCCCAGGCCCUAAAGAGCUUAGGGUCAGAUGGGCCUUGAAGUUUAAUUAUUAAAGCAGCAAUUAUACAACUGAGAAGAAUGAAAUUGAAAAUGAAUCCAGCAGCUGAUAGUGGGGUGAGUUUGAGGGGAGUCAGGGGAACUGUAAGGACUAAAAGCCACAGACACAACCAAACAGAGAUUUGCAUAAGCAAAUGAAAACAAAUACAAUGCACUUUACAAAAUUACGGAAUGGAACUUUCUCUUUAUUAUUUCCACCAUCUUAUCAAAAAAAUGGAUGUAAUUCUAAAACAUUGCCUGGUCAUUGGGAGAUAGAGUAUGGAGCUGGAAGGAAGGAGACCUCCGAUUCAGACCUAAUCUUUUAGCUCAGGCUCUGGGGAACUUGGCAAAUGACUUCAUUUUCCUGUCAAAAAGAGAAGAGUGUUUUCUCACAGUGUGUUUCAUGUAACACCCGGU